UGAUUAAAUUGCUAAGGGCGUAUUGUGAAUGCCUUGGCACUAGAAGCUGAUGAAGGACGCGACAAACAGCGAAAUGCUUCGGGGAGUGGUAAGUACACUUUGAUCCGGAGAUCUCCGAAUGGGGGAACCCACCUAUGGUAAUGCGUAGGUAAUGUAUACUGAAUACAUAGGUAUAUAUAAGCAACCCGGUGAACUGAAACAUCUUAGUAACCGGAGGAAAAGAAAGAAAAAUCGAUUCUCUUAGUAGUGGCGAGCGAAAAGGGAAGAGCCCAAACCAGUCUACGGACUGGGGUUGUAGGACCUUACAUUAAGAGUUAGAAAUUUAUAGCAUAGAUAAACAAGUUGGGAAGCUUGACCGUAGUAGGUGAUAGUCCUGUAAUCAAAAUGCUGUAAACUCUGUAGGGUAUCCUGAGUACGACGAGACACGUGUAAUCUUGUCGGAAUCCGCGGGGACCAUCCCGCAAGGCUAAAUACUCUCUAGUGACCGAUAGUGAACAAGUACCGUGAGGGAAAGGUGAAAAGAACCCCGUGAGGGGAGUGAAAUAGAUUCUGAAACAAUACGCUUACAAGAAGUCAAAGCCCGUUAAUGGGUGAUGGCGUGCCUUUUGCAGAAUGAACCGGCGAGUUAAUUUAUCAUGCAAGGUUAAGUUGAAGAGACGGAGCCGAAGCGAAAGCGAGUCUGAAUAGGGCGAAUUAGUAUGAUGGAUUAGACCCGAAACCGAGUGAUCUAGCCAUGAGCAGGAUGAAGGUUUGGUAACACAAACUGGAGGUCCGAACCAACUAAUUAGGAAACAUUAGUGGAUGACUUGUGGCUAGAGGUGAAAUUCCAAUCGAACUCGGAUAUAGCUGGUUCUCCCCGAAAUAGGUUUAGGCCUAGCCUUGAGUUAAGUUUGUUGAAGGUAGAGCACUGAAUAGGUGAUGGCUCCGUCUAGGGGUACUGAACCUAAUCAAACUCCGAAUGUCAAUAAAUGUUUCUCAGGAGUCAGUGUAUGGGUGAUAACGUCCGUACGCGAGAGGAAAAGAAUCCAGACCGCCAGUUAAGGUCCCAAAAUUUAUGCUAAGUGGGAAAGGAUGUGGAGUUGUCAAAACAGCUAGGAGGUUUGCUCAGAAGCAGCCAUCCUUUAAAGAGUGCGUAAUAGCUCACUAGUCGAAUGACACUGCGCCGAAGAUGUACCGGGGCUAAGCAUAAUACCGAAACUGCGGAUUCAAAUAUUUAUAUUUGUCUGGUAGGGGAGCGUUCUAAAUGCGCUGAAGAUAGAUCGUGAGGACUGUUGGAGCGUUUAGAAGUGAGAAUGCCGGUGUGAGUAGCGCAAGCUGGGUGAGAAUCCCGGCCACCGUUUGCCUAAAGGUUCCUGGGGCAGGUUCGUCCACCCAGGGUAAGUCAGGACCUAAGAUGAGGCUGAAAAGCGUAGUCGAUGGACAACAGGUUGAUAUUCCUGUACCACCUAUAUAACAGAUGGAAUGACAAAGAAGGCUAGAUUGAGCCAGUUAAUGGAUUCUGGUCUAAGCACAAAGACUGAUAUAUUGGAAAAUCCGUAUAUCGCUUCAGUUGAAGUGUGAUGGUGAAGGAGACUUCGGUCUUCGAAAUCAAUUGACGCCAAGCUUUCAAGAAAAGUUUCUAUGGUUAAUUAUAUAGGUGCCUGUACUGAGAACCGACACAGGUGGGCAAGGAGAAUAUCCUAAGGUGAGCGAGAGAACUAUGGUUAAGGAACUCGGCAAAAUGACCCCGUAACUUCGGGA
rnacentral:rRNA from 1 species